CUCCUGGGAAGUCCUCGUGUU
rnacentral:snRNA from 1 species